rnacentral:lncRNA from 1 species
UUUCUAACCACUUUUUGAAUCAAUCUCUAUCGUUGGAUUAUGCUGAAAUAAAAUCUUAGCCGUUUAAACUCACAAAAAUAACCGCUCUAAUGACGGUUCAUGACAGUUAUUGGUAGUUUUCCUACAGAUAGUUUUGCUCCAAAAUUUUCUGCCAAUGAUCUCUACUUCUCAGCAGUUUUCUUCUUAUUUUAAGACCCAUUAUCUCUAAACCAACUCUUACAAAUCUUCCUACAAAUCUGGUGUUCCGCCGGCUAUCUUCUUGUGGAAUGGCACCAUCAUCUAUCUAGAUGACACCAUAACCCCAAGCCCUAAGACAAAUAAAUCGGUCAUUCUUCUUUCUUUGAUAGUCAAAAUUUCACACUCAACGUACCCUGGAUUUGUGCGACAAGUUUUCCUCCAUUGAUUCUCAUUAUCAUUGCUUCCACAACAGAGAGCUAGAUGCAAAAGAACGAUUCUAGGGGAUGAGGAAAUUGAGGAAUCAUUAACCUUUCUCUUAAUUGGAUGAGCUUAUUCUAGAUCCUCUAAGAAAUGAUUGUUCAACCAACUAAAGUGCAGGUGCUAGACGUAAUAGGCUGGCUACUCCAGACAUCAUUACUCAAGUUUCGCAAGCUCUAGAUGUCAAAGUCUGUUAAACUAUUGUUUCUGUUUUAUUAUCGAUCCGCCUGUGGAUCUUUUUACUCUCCGUUGUAAUACUGGAUAUUACUUAUAUUCGGAUUGUAAUAUAUUUUACCUUUUGCUUCCGCUGUGCAUUCAUAUAAUU